AUUUGGAGGUGAUGGCUUCUCGAGAUUCUUUGUUGGGUUUCAAGUGAAAGCACGAGAAUUCUCGCCGAGAUAUAGAUCGCCAUGGCCGCCCCCUUCUUCUCUACGCCCUUCCAGCCUUAUGUCUACCAAAAUCCACAGGCAGUUGUAACACCUUUCCAAAUAUUGGGUGGAGAAUCACAGAUUGUUCAGAUAAUGUUGAAAUCAGAAGAGAAGGUUACUGCAAAGCCUGGUA